GGUUUUUCUGACCAUGAGCAGGGUGAGGAUGUGAGGAGAACGAUCCUACGUACCUGAACAGCAAUACUCUGAAGCAAACUCUGAAGAGGACCAGAGGUAAAAAACAGGAGGGAGAGCUGGAGGAACACAGAAGGUGCCACCUCUGAGGCUCACAGCAAGGAGUAAAGCAGUAUGAGGGCUGUAUGGGGCUGGGGCCCCUUCAACAGAAGCCAACUAAGAGGCUUUCCUCCACCCUGAAGACACAGCUGUGAUCAGCAGAUCUGUCCAGCAGGGAAGGUGAAAUACAGAAGAGGAUGUUGAUCUACUGGCGUAAAGGAUGAUUUUCCCACUGUUCUGGGAGAACUUUAGAUUUCAUUCACUUCUUUCCUUUUUAACCAAAAGAAUAAUGAAUGUCCCACGAAAUACCUGAAGUUCCCCCUGUCACUCUGUGCCUUAACCUUUGUGAUGCUAAAGACUCAGAUUUGCAACCCUACCGUUCAUCUUUCACUUACGGCUCUGUAAUCUUUUGCCUAAAUUUCUGUGAGGUUUUGUGUUUUUUUCCUUCCAUGUCAUUCUCCUACUGUCAUCCUUGUAAUUUUCAUGCCUUUACACCUCUAACGGUGUCACUUUAGGUUUCUCAUAGUAAGUGAUUGCCCUGGCAUGACAAUUACCCCUCCUUCCCUGCUUUUUCCUAUGCAUUGUUGUUUGUAAUUCAGCUUAUACUAGAGGCAAACAAGACUUAAGAAAUAACAUCUUGUGUAAUAGUUAUUUAUAUAUAUAAUAAGUAUUACUCCCCAAUACAUGUGCAUGGUGCUCAACCAAUAAUUCCUCAUCUGUGAAGAUGUCCCAGAAACUAGCUGUAAGUCAUUGAUCGCAUUAUAGGCCUCUAAACAAAAAACUGCUUGAAAUUUAUUUGACAUACGUUGCUAGCAUUUUUAAUUUAAAAUUUAAUUUUUAAACUACUGAAAAGCACUGGUGUUAUACCACAAGCUCAUUCCACAUUAAACAUCACUGCAGUGCUAGGGUACCAAUCUCAGCAUCAUUAGCAACAUAUUCUCUACGCUAAAAGUAUUAUUUCAUUUUUAUAUCUUUAGGUUUAUAAAUAUUGACCACUUUUAGAGCAUCUGAAGUUAUUUCUGCAGAUUUUAUCGUGAGCAGCACCUUGCUGUUACCUUGUGGGCUGACAGUGGGGACUCAGGUGAUGGAGGUGCUGCAGUUCACUCGCUCAUCUUCACUCCUGUGCUGUAGGAAAUCGUUGCACACAAAGCCUCUGCUUUCCCAGGAUGGCAUAGUUCAGUCAUCAACCUGGAGUUCUUAGUCCUACUGUAUAUUUGGUGAGUACAGAUCACCAGGAGAAAAAAAAAAUAAAACCUGCUGAGGACAUUUUGUCACAGCAUAUAAAUCAAAAAGCAAGUUGGAUGAAAAAGCUAAUCUAAUUACUUAUAGUCCUUAAAAUGUUCCAGACCAGAUGUUGAAAAAUGUCACAUUGACCAGCUCAGCACUGCAGGGUACUAAGCUUUUCCUCGGGGCUACUGGAGCUUGAGUCAGAUGCAUUUAAAGGAUGCCCACGGUUUGUAAAUUCAAAGGUGCAGAAACAGGCACAAACAGAAGUGAAUCUCACUGGAAGGCAUGGAAUUAAGUGGAGAUCUAAAAGCUCAGCUACUCUUUCCCUAGGUCAGAUCAGUCCAGAUGGUUUAAUUCCUGACCAGUAUCUAUGCAACGCCAUGGAUGAAGCUUUGAUAUAUCAGUAAUUUCUGAAUAUUUUCUAUAAUUUGGAAAAGAAUGACUAAAUUCCACUUCAGUAGAUUCAACAAAACAAGGGUAAAAGAAAAAGAAAAUCUGAGCAUAUGUAGAUUAUUUCUUUUCACAUUUGGAAUGGAAGGUAUCAAAAAUAGAUUAAGAUGCUUGGCUGGAAGCACUUUAUGUGACCUCAAGCCAUAGCCUGAUGCCAAACAAGAGUUUUAAAAAUCCAAUUAAAAUAAAAUAUUAAAUAUAUAAAUAAAAGUUGUAAAUAAUUCCUCACUGUCAGAUAAAAAUACAUACACAUAUACAUACACAGAAUGCACUUUUGACUUACAUUGAAGUACAUGUCAAUGGUUGAACUGAAGUUGUUAUUUUUCUGUGCAGCUUGGGAGAG
ensembl:lncRNA